GAGAAGUUUGAUCCUGGCUCAGGACGAACGCUGGCGGCGUGCCUAAUACAUGCAAGUCGAGCGGACAGAAGGGAGCUUGCUCCCGGAUGUUAGCGGCGGACGGGUGAGUAACACGUGGGUAACCUGCCUGUAAGACUGGGAUAACUCCGGGAAACCGGAGCUAAUACCGGAUAGUUCCUUGAACCGCAUGGUUCAAGGAUGAAAGACGGUUUCGGCUGUCACUUACAGAUGGACCCGCGGCGCAUUAGCUAGUUGGUGGGGUAAUGGCUCACCAAGGCGACGAUGCGUAGCCGACCUGAGAGGGUGAUCGGCCACACUGGGACUGAGACACGGCCCAGACUCCUACGGGAGGCAGCAGUAGGGAAUCUUCCGCAAUGGACGAAAGUCUGACGGAGCAACGCCGCGUGAGUGAUGAAGGUUUUCGGAUCGUAAAGCUCUGUUGUUAGGGAAGAACAAGUUCGAGAGUAACUGCUCGCACCUUGACG
rnacentral:rRNA from 1 species